UGAUUUCAUGGCUUAUCUAGUAUCAGCAACACCCGCUUUGAUAAACCGAGUUAUGAAGCCGCCCACAUUUCGAAUCGUUUUUCUGUUCUUCACUUUUCAUUAUUCGUCUAUAAAUUAGUGUUUGCUUGCUUUACUGAAUAUUUUUUCUACUUAAAUAUUAGAAUUACCAACGAAAAUCAUUACUGAGAGAUCUUCAAUAUCAGUAGUUUUGAAAUGAAAAUUUUCGAUAAAUUAUUUCAUCAUGAAAAGAAGAA